rnacentral:rRNA from 1 species
AAUGAACGUUGGCGGCGUGGAUUAGGCAUGCAAGUCGAGCGAGAACCCGCAAGGGGGACAGCGGCAAACGGGGUAGGAAUGGUCGGUAACGUACCCUUCGGACGAGGAUAGCCACGGGAAACUGUGGGUAAUACUCGAUAAACUCCUUUCUUGUAACGGAGAGAGGAGCAAAGGUGAGAUUCCACCGGAGGAGCGGCUGACUUAGUAUUAGCUAGUUGGUGAGGUAAAAGCUUACCAAGGCAUCGAUGCUUAGGGGGUGUGAGAGCAUGGCCCCCACCACUGGGACUGAGAUACUGCCCAGACACCUACGGGUGGCUGCAGUCGAGGAUCUUCGGCAAUGGGCGCAAGCCUGACCGAGCGACGCCGCGUGUGGGAUGAAGGCCCUUGGGUUGUAAACCACUGUCAGGGGGGACGAAAUGCGCGCGGGUACUCCCGUGCGUUUGACAGAGCCCCAGAGGAAGCACGGGCUAAGUUCGUG